GAUGAACGCUAGCGGCAGACCUAAUACAUGCAAGUCAAGGGGAUAGCAAUAUCACCGGCGGACGGGUGCGUAACGCGUACACAACGUGCCCAAGGGCGGAGGAAAGCGGCGGGAAACUGCCGGUAAUACUCCAUGGUGUUGUUGAGUGGCAUCACUUAACAACUAAAGUACAAGCGCCCUUGGAUCGGUGUGCGUUCGAUUAGCUAGUUGGCGGGGUAACGGCCCACCAAGGCUUCGAUCGAUAGGGGGUGUGAGAGCAUGACCCCCACACGGGUACGUGAGACACGGACCCGGACUCCUACGGGAGGGCAG
rnacentral:rRNA from 1 species